rnacentral:lncRNA from 1 species
UUGGUGAGGUUUGGAGGGAAUUGAUUGUUGUCUGGGAGCUGCUGCUGUUGUUUGAAUACCAACUGUCCAUGCAGUGUCAAUGAACGGAGUUGGUGCAGGUUUGGUGCACAAGCGAAAAAGACAUCCCCUGAGAUUAUACGUUCGGGCAAAAUCAAAGCCAACGACACAAGGCUGUCCAUUUGCUCGAGUGCUUUUCCGAGUGAUUUUGCAAACAUUCUCUCACAUGCUUUGUCAAUCGCCUCUCUAGUAAAGCUCGAUGUAGCAACACAAUUUUUGUUGAAUCUGAUGCCUAGUGAACGGACGAUCUCCGUAAUAUCCAUAUCAAAUUCAAACUCCCUAAUUUCCAAAGUCUGGAAGUUCUUGUGAUCCACACUUAUCGGUGCGCUUAGAAACAUAUAUAUAUUAAUAUAUACGUGCCUCAGCGUCCGAAUUUUCCAAAAUGAUUUCGGCAGCAAAUAAAUUUUUGUGCCUCUCACAUCUAAUGUCUGCAGAUUCAGGAGAUGUCGGAUGGAGGAUGGCAGCCUCUUCAAAUCAGUGUAUCUGAAUCCCAGGUAUCGUAGAUGAAUCAUGCUGCCGAUCUGCUUCGGUAACUCUUCCAAAUCUUCUGCACCCUCCAGAUCCAGCACCCUUAAUAAGUUUAACCCAUUCAAAGAUCUUCCCACAUUAGUCAAAAUUAAACUGAAGCCCAGCAAACUGCGGAGACGCGGUGAGGAAACAGCAACCUCGUCAUUUAUACGAUCGUAGAAAGCUGCACGGUGAGUCAAUAUACCAUUAGAUCCUGCCAUGUCGUCACUACUGCAAACAUAAAGAAAUUCAUCCUUUUUGGCUUCUUCAAGGCCAUAGUCGCGCAACAGAUCAUGGAUGCGUAUGUUGUUAACCCGCCCACGAGCCUUGCUUCUUUGGGCAACCUGGAUCAAGCACCUCUGCACCAACUCUUCCAACCAAUCCCUUGCAGUGUCUUCCAUUGUCUGUCGCUGCUCUUGCAGUAUGAAACCUUCAGCGACCCACAACCUAACUAAUUUGGAGAGAGAGAUAAUGGAGUCCUCUGGAAACGCAGCAAUGUAUAGAAAACAUGGUUUUAACGGAUAUGGCAAGUCAUUGUAACUUAAACCCAAUAUAUUGUGGCAUUCCCUCCCAUCUCUAGUAGAUGCCCAGUUCAUGCUCUGAGCUAUUUUCAACCACGUAUCGUAGCUAGGAUCUUUCCUUGACAUAAGACCCCCUAACACCACCAGUGCAAGAGGAAGUCCACCACACUUCUUUGCAAGCUUAUGGGCCAAUGCCUCCAACUCAGUUGGGACAUCUUGAUUUGGUGGAAAUGCCUUCCUACGAAAGAGUUGCCAGCUCUCCGUGUCAUCUAAAAGCUGCAGUUCAUGUGGAGGAAUCCAUGGCUGGGCAUCUCUUGCAACCUCAAUGUUACGGGUAGUAAGCAGUAUUCUGCUACCUUUGUUCCGAUCAGGAAAGACUCGCUGCAUUUGUCUCCAAACAUCAACACUCCAUACAUCAUCCAUCACGACCAAAUACUUUGUGUCUCUUAGGAAAUCACGGAGCUUCUCUCCCACUUCUUGUUCAUCCAUAUGCUCCAAGUCUCCUUUCCUCUGUUUGAUUCCCGUUACUUUUUGCAGGAUGUCCUUCAUUAGCUCGAUACCUCGGUAGCUCUGAGAAACUGAAACCCAAGCAAAGGUAUCGAAAUGUUUUUUAAUUGCAGGGUUAUUAUACACUUUUAUUGCCAGGGUGGUCUUGCCUAGCCCACCCAUACCCACUAUAGAAAUUACACAUCGUGCUUUCUCAUUCCGAUCAAGCAAUCGACUCAUUAAUUCUUUCUUAUCAUUCUCGAAGCCUACAACAUCAAUGUCAUCAUCAUCAGAGUGAGGAGAGGAUUCUCUGAGUGAUUGCCAACUUUGAUCCAUUGCACUACUUUCACCUAGAUUAGCAAUGCCAUAUGUGGCUCUGCUCUCAGAGAUACCACGGAUCUUUUCCUUUAUUUUUUCAAUUUUACCACCAAUUUCAUGUAGGGUGAUCAAUUCACGAGGCUUGUGAGAGUACCUUGACAUAGUGCCCAUGAAGCCUCUCCUUUGGUGUCGCCUCUCGCCCAUGUACUUGAUGGUGCCUAUGACGUCUUCUAUUUCAUAUGCUACACCGCUCAUCUGCCUUAUCCAGAUCUCCACUCUUUCGUCUCCCCUCCUCCUGGACUCGGCAUCUUUGAGGAAACCUUGCAAUAGCUGGAGUUGUGCUUUCACCCAUUCGACUUGAUCUCUCACCCCACGCAAAAAAGCAGCUUCUUGUACGAGAAGGUUGGUAAGCUGAAAGACAACUUUGGCAACCAGAAACUCAGCCAUAUCUCCUUCCCUCUCUCAGCCCAGAUGCUAUCGGCCGCUAACCCUCCGUCUGGGAGUUUUGGGGAGAAAAGAGAAUAAAGAAAAACUUUAAUGAAGAGGGAAAAGAAAAGUAACGACGAUUUUGGAGCUGGCGGCCUUCACAAGGGAUCCUACCAUCUGACGUCCACCAUCAGAUCCACGAGGCACUCCGCUGCCGCCAUCAGAUCCCCCCNNNNNNNNNNNNNNNNNNNNNNNNNNNNNNNNNNNNNNNNNNNNNNNNNNNNNNNNNNNNNNNNNNNNNNNNNNNNNNNNNNNNNNNNNNNNNNNNNNNNNNNNNNNNNNNNNNNNNNNNNNNNNNNNNNNNNNNNNNNNNNNNNNNNNNNNNNNNNNNNNNNNNNNNNNNNNNNNNNNNNNNNNNNNNNNNNNNNNNNNNNNNNNNNNNNNNNNNNNNNNNNNNNNNNNNNNNNNNNNNNNNNNNNNNNNNNNNNNNNNNNNNNNNNNNNNNNNNNNNNNNNNNNNNNNNNNNNNNNNNNNNNNNNNNNNNNNNNNNNNNNNNNNNNNNNNNNNNNNNNNNNNNNNNNNNNNNNNNNNNNNNNNNNNNNNNNNNNNNNNNNNNNNNNNNNNNAGCAGCGGCUGGGUUUCAAUGGGAUUUGAGGGAGACGGGGGUCUCGAUCAUGGCAGAGAUUCUACCUUAUCUGGGACCGCAGGGUCUCGAUCAUGGCAGAAAUUCUACCUUAUCUUCCUUCUUCUUCUUCUUCUUCUUCUUCUUCUUCUUUUAUUUUUUUUGGGUACAUAUUCUACCUCAUCCCUUCGAGCGACAGCAGGGUCACGAUCAUGGCAGAAAUUCUACCUUAUCUUUUCAAAGGACCGUGGGGUCUCGAUUAUUUUUUUUAAUUUUAUUUUUCCUUUCCAAUUCCAAGCAGAGCCUAAUGGGUAGAGAAUCUUCUCCAAAGUCCAAGAAGCCUACAAAAAANAAAAAAAAAAAAUACAGGUUCUCCACAUGAAAAUUAAUAAAAGAAGCUCAAUUACUUUAGCCAUGUGACUUGAGGGUUAAUUUAUUCCGACGUUCAGACAUUUUGAUGUGACUUGAGGUUUAAUUUAUGCCAGAGCCAGGCUGUCAUCAGCUGGUAUCGAAAGAAACACUGCAGCACCGAGCCAAUUUUAAAUUUUUAAAACUAUUUGACAGCUCUAUCUAAGUCAUCACCCUUCUCCAAUUGUCGAAUUACUUUUCACUCCCUCAUCUUAAAUAUAUUACUUUCAUAUGUAGUCUUAAAAGACUAAUUUAUUCCGAUAUUCAGAAACUUUCAUGUGACUUGAGGUUUAAUUUAUUCCAACAUUAAGACACUAUUGCCAGAGCCAGACUGUCCUGGUAUAGAAGGAAGCAGCGCAGCGCCGAGCCAACUUCAAUUUUUAAGACUACAACCAACGGCUCAUCACUCCCAAAAUAUACCUUUUGUCCGCCCAGCGGAAAAAUCUCUCCAAAAAGCUAAAGAUAAUUUUUAGAUAAAAAAUAUUAGAUAAAAAUAUUUUUAUUUUUUUGAAAGGUAAAAAUAAAUUUUUAAGAGAAGCCCUAUUUCGAAGCUUUGCAAAAUAUCUGUUUUAAGUUUUGUCAGAAAACUAUUUUUUGGACAAAAAUACAAACAAUAAAAUAUAACAAUUACAUACUUUGUCCCUUUAUAAACUUAAAAAUAUGUUGCAGUCCUAACAAAGAAAUCUAGCCGUAGAUCAGACUCGCUUCCGUGCAAGAAAAUAUAUUCUUAUUUUCUAUUUUUGUAUGCAUUUUUUAAAUCACGUUUUAGGAGAAAAUUUUUUUAAUUUCUUUCUCUAUUCCUUCCGAAAACCAUCCCUUUUUUUCAUUGACAUCGUGGUCCACGCUGAGAUCCUCCUAGAGCGUAAACUACAAAGAAUAAUACAUUAAUAUGUUAUGUUAAAUAAUUUAAUAUUAUGUUAUAUUAUGAAAAAUUAAUAUAUGCUAAUAAUUAUAAUAUUUUGUACCUUUAUUAUUGUAUUAUACUAUAAAUAUAAUAUUAUAUUACAGUAUAUCAUAAUACAUUGAUAUAUUAUGUUAAAUAAUUUAAUAUUAUAUUAAAUUAUUAUGCUAUAGUUACAAUGUUAUAUACUGUUGCUGGAAAUUGGACCCGGGGGCGAUCUUCGGUCGAAGAGAGGGAGCAGCAGGUCCUCACAGGAGAGCGGCGAUCCGUCGGCGGGUGGCGUCCUCCGUCCAGGUGCCUGCAGACAAACCGGUGGCCGGGUUUUCCGGCGCCGGCCCUCCGACGCUCAAGUCAGAAGGGGGGCAAAAUGUAUGAGAAGAAGAAGAACAGUAUUUGUAGAGUGCGGAAUCUCCCAACGCCCCUCUGAGAAGCAAAGGCCCCCUUUUAUAGGGAGGUCGGUUUACCUGUGAUGUGAUGGGGCGAGGCUAUAGUACGGCUCGGCAUGUUGUUCGGAUCGGCGCACGAUCGGGUGAAUUAUUGCGUUGAUGUCGGAGGUGAGGUCGUCGUACGACCCGAGCUGGCACGCGAUCGGGCGAAUUAUUGCAUUGGUGUCAGAGGUAAGGCCGAGAUUAGAGACUUAUCAUAGUCGAUUGGACUCUGCUGGGCUGACUUGCCGUGGAGAGCUGAGGGUCCGUAGAUGACAGGAGCCAUGCGCAUUAAUUGUGGAGUAAGCCGGAGAUCCGCAUUAAUUGUGGAGUAAGCCGGAGAUCUGCAUUAAUUGUUGAGUGAACUGGAGGUUUGCAGGGGUCAUGCGCAAUAAAUGCCGGGGUAGUGGCAGGAUAUGGCCCUUGGCCGGACCUCGGAGGGGUAUGGCCGUAGUAGGUGGCUGACAAGGAUAGACCUCGGGUGUCAGGAAUUUUCCAAGUCGGAGGUUCUGAGGUCGGAUGUCUUGAGGUCGGAUGUCUUGAGGUCGGACGUCUUGAGGUCGGGCGCCGACUUCGGCUGUCCAAGGUCGGCGGUUGUGCGACUUCUUAGGGGUACUUGUGUCACUGGGGGAAAAACCUUAUUCCCCCAACACUACCCCCCGACUUUCGAGUUCGAGCGGCUUGCAGGCUCGGACGUGGGAAGUAGAGACUAUCAUUAAAGUUGGAGGGAAUCACGUCCGCGCCCUUACGCUUCUCGGAGCCUUUAUGACGGAACCUGCGCCCUUUGGUGCUUCGAGGUCGCUUUAUUCAGCGAACUUAUGAUGGGGCUUGUAUCCUUACGUUUUUCGAAGCAGCUGUAAUGGGGGCGGUGCCUCUUGGAUCUCCGAGAUCGCUUCGUGCGGCGAACCCAUGAUGAGGGUCCCCGGGCCCGACGAGGCGGCGCCUCGAUCUCGUGGUCGAGGCUCCCCGCUCAUCAAUGAGUAUGCCGUUUCGUGCUUCAAAAUGGACACACGGCAUGAUUUGAGGUCGGACGUUUCUGAUCUCGUAUUAGUGGAUCAUUGAUCUGGGGAGGUGGAGGCUACAUCGGUGCUCCACGUGUCCCAGAGCCUUAUUAAAUGAGGGGAGCGGGGGUGAUGUCCGCUCGUUCUUCAAGGUGAUCUGAUCCUGCGGACCCAUGAUGAGGCCCCGAGAUCCGAUGGGACAGCGUUUCGAUUUCGUAUCCGAUUUAUUGAUCCGGAGUGAAUGUGGUGCCUCGGCUUCCGAGGUCGACACGUGGCGCAAUCCGGUCAGGGGAUGGGAACCGACCCUGUUGAUUUGGGCCGUCAGGGGGGUCUAUAUAAACCCCACGAGUCUGCCCUAAGAGUUCUAUUUGGCUGCCUCUCAUUUUUGCCGUCUUCUUCUUCGCUCCACUUCUCAACCGAACCUUGCCGACGGUGCUCGGAGCGAUUUUCGGCAACCCCCCGUAGGUUCCCACCCUAUUUUAGCUAGGGCUUCCUCCCCUCCUUCCUCCUCUAUCCUUAGUUUCAUUUCGUUUUUCUGUAAAAAUGGGUCUCGGUCCUGAGGAAGUAGGGUCGAGUCUAUCGGAGGAGGAGUUGGAGUUAAUCCGCUCCCGGUUCUUCUUCCAGCCCGGGUUUCGUCUUGAAACUGCGGGGCCGGAAGACAGGGCGACACGGCCGCCCCCAGGUCGGAUCGCGGUUCACCGCGAGACGCUCUGGGCCGGCCUACGGUUCCCUAUUCACGAGUUCGUGAACAACUUGCUAGUCGAGUACCAGCUCGUCCCGGCACAGUUGGCUCCGAACUCGUGGAGGACCAUAAUCGGGUUCCUGUCCCUGUGUCUCGGGCAUGGGAUCUCGAUCUCCGUGAGCGUCUUCCGCCGGUGUUUUCUAUUAAAGAAAAACCCGGCGGACGCAGGGUGGCUAUACUUCGCCUUUCGGGGCGGUAUGUCACUCUUCCAGGGUGCCCCUUCCUCUAUUCAUGAGUGGAAGGGGAAGUUUUUCUUCCUUGCGUCCGAGGCGCCGUGGGGGUUCAACCCGAGGUGGGGGCACCCUCGGUUGAAGACUCUAAACAGGCUCUCCGAGCCCUCGGGGAGGGAGCUGAGGGUCCUGGACUCUUUACGGGCCCUCGAAAAGGGGUACGACCUGACCGAGCUCCUACGGGAGGACGCCCUGGCGAGCGUGGGUCGGAGCUCGGCGCGCCCCGAGGGUAAGAGUAGUUGCAUUACCUUCUUUCCUUGUCUGUUCUUUCUUUUUACUAUCAUUGGUCUGACACUUAGGAGAAUCUUUGAUUUCAGAUAUUCCCCACAUGCUGACUAGCAACACGUCCCUUUUCUCGCGAAUAAAGAGGCGAGAGGCCGAGGCCGGGGGGGCUAUUCCCCAGCCUCGGAAAAAGUCAAGAUCGGCCGGUGUUUCUUCAUCGGCCGGGGCGAGAGGUCCAGAGGCGGGGGCCUCUGCAGCCGACCAGGGGCGGAUGUCGGCCGUCGGCGAUGCGGGCUCGGCGGCCCCGCCUUGUCCCGCCCCCAUUGCCCAGCGGGAGGGCCCAGCUACCACUCGUUUACAGCGCCCGGGGCCUGAGCCGACCAGAGGCCCCGAAGCAAGUGGCCCCGGAAUCCCGAGCUCGGAUGAGCCGAGCUCUUCGAGGGUCUUCCGGGAGGAGUCGGUCGAGCCGGACUCUCCUAUCCCCGAGGGGAGCUCGGCUAUCCAUGAUGCCGAAGUCGCACGCGCCGUAUUUCGGCAUGCGAUGCUUCCAGCGGACCGGCCUGAGUUUCGAAACUUGCCGCUGGGAGAGGUCGUUGACGGUACUUACCGCAACACUGCCCGGGUAAGUCCUCUUCUUGAUUUCCUUGAAGUUACUAACGAACUUGUGUUUUUCAACUCACGGUCAUUUUGUUCCUUUCUUUGCAGCAUAUUCACGAACUUGACACCCUGGUGUUCAUCGCCCAAGGGUGUCAAGAGGAGGCUCGGCAACUCGGCAGGCAAUUGGAGCCGGCUAAGAAAAGGAUUGCCGAGCUGGAGGCGGCGCUAGCCGAGGCCGAGGCGCGAAGGGAGGCCACUGAGGCCGGGCGCCUCGCAAUGGUCGAAGUGCUCGAGGAGGAAAGGGCCGCCCACGCCUUGACCAAGUCGGCUUUGCGCGCUUCGGAGGCGCGCCUGGGGGAGGCCCAAUCCGAGGUCUCGGGCCUCAAGUACGAGUGCGGGGUCUUCCGCCUCAAGAUUGAGCAGCUUGAGGCUCGGGAGAAGAAGGCACUCGAGCGGGCCGAGAAUGCCGUGGAUCUCUUCAAGGGGUCGGAGGAGUUCCGCGACAUGUUGGAGGAGGAGACUGUGGACGGGUUUCUCCGGGGUUUCGAUAACUUCCGGAAGCAGAUGGCUCGGAUCUGCCCCCAGUUCGAUCUUUCGACAAUUCGUCCGAGGAUGAACCUGGGCUACGGGUCUGAUACGGACGACAUCCCCGCCAUCCUGACAUCCGAGGCGGGGUUGNNNNNNNNNNNNNNNNNNNNUUCAGAGACCCUCGGUAUGACCCACCUACUAACCAGGCCAUCGCCGUUGGCAGGCGGCAGGACAUGCUGACAGUGACCCUCCCUGUGCUGCUCAGGGACCCCGCGGGUAUGGCCCGCACAGCGGCCGAGUAUGUCCAACAUGGGCAUCGCCCCAACCUCCACUAUCCAUUCCUCUAAAUUUAGGAGUUCCAAUAAUAUCAAGUGCUGCAGUCGUUGAGGAAAGCCACCAACAGAAGAACAUGACAUGAUCUUCCCAAGAUAUGAAUUCCGAUUCAAUUCAAGAAGCCUGAGGUUUGGUAGCGUCUGGAGCACCGGCAUUGGGUCUUGCUCCAAUCCAGAUUCUCUUAAUAUGAGCUUGGUGAGGUUUGGAGGGAAUUGAUUGUUGUCUGGGAGCUGCUGCUGUUGUUUAAAUACCAACCAUCCAUCCAGUGUCAAUGAACGGAGUUGGUGCAGGUUUGGUGCACGAGCGAAAAAGACAUCCCCUGAGAUUAUACGUUCGGGCAAAAUCAAAGCCAAUGACACAAGACUGUCCAUUUGCUCGAGUGCUUUUCCGAGUGAUUUUGCAAACAUUCUCUCAC